CGACGCCGCGUGUGGGAUGACGGCCUUCGGGUUGUAAACCACUGUCGCGAGGGACGAAAAAAAUGACGGUACCUCGAAAGGAAGCACCGGCUAACUCUGUGC
rnacentral:rRNA from 1 species